UACAGAGGUCCCAAGCGUUGUUCGGAUUCACUGGGCGUAAAGGGUGCGUAGGCGGUCGGGUAAGUCUGAUGUGAAAUCUCACGGCUUAACUGUGAAACUGCAUUGGAUACUAUCCGGCUAGAGGAAUGGAGGGGAGACUGGAAUACUUGGUGUAGCAGUGAAAUGCGUAGAUAUCAAGUGGAACACCAGUGGCGAAGGCGAGUCUCUGGACAUUUCCUGACGCUGAGGCGCGAAAGCCAGGGGAGCAAACGGG
rnacentral:rRNA from 1 species